CAGCUCUCACUGUCAGGAAGUUCUAAUCUAUCUAUCUAUCUAUCUAUCUAUCUAUCUAUCUUUCUAUCUAUCUAUCUAUCUAUCUAUCUAUCAUCUCUACUAUCUAUCAUCUAUAUCUAUCUAUCUAUCUAUCUAUAUCUAUCUAUCUAUCAUCUAUAUCUAUCUAUCUAUCUAUCUAUCUAUCUAUCUAUCUAUCUAUAUCUAUCUAUCUAUCAUCUAUCUAUCUAUCUAUCUAUCAUCUAUCUAUCAUCCAUCUAUCUAUCUAUCUAUCUAUCUAUCUAUCUAUCUAUCUAAUCUAUCUAUCUAUCUAUCUAUCUAUCUAUCUAUCUAUGAGCUAUUAAAAGCAUACAGAUCAUUAUAGUACAAACAGCCAUUUCAUAUACUUUUUCUUUAAAAGGGGGGGAAAGGCAUCUGGGAAUUUCCAGCGGGUGAAAACCAAAAACCCAUUGGCAUAAAGUUUUCACCUGCUGGAGAAAGGACAACAAGGAGGGAGCCAGUCUAACAUCUCUUGGGAGGGAGUUCUAGAGACUGAGAGCGGCCACCAAGAAGACCUGCUCCUGCAUCCCCAACAAGUGUGCCUUUUCAUAUGAAUUUGCUGCUAUUGGCACCACUGCCUCCUAAAAGUAGCACAGUCAGAGUGUGUAAGUAGGGUGUAUGUCCCCUGAAGAGAACCAUCCAUCUGAGAAGGGGUGCAAGAGUUCGCAUCAUUGCUCACAUUCCAGGAUCUAGAUACCAUCAGUCAUAAAUCUUAUCCCCAGGUGUACCCCAUGAUGGUGGAUAAAACUGAAAAACAUAAAGAGUCUGUUACCUUGAACUACGAUUCAGUGCUUAAAAUCACACCAGUCUGAAUGAUGAUGAUGAUCAUCAUCAUCAUCAUUUUGUUUGUAUACUGUCAUAUGCCCGUAGAUUUCAGGGCAGUUCACAACAUAAAAUUACAAUAUAAAAAACACAAUAUAUAUAUAAUAAAAAUAGGAACAAAAAACAAACCUAGCUUGGCAUAAGGUGUCCCAUCACUUUACUCAGUUCCAGACAAUACACAGUUUCACAGUCUCACUUCUUUAUUGGUACGGCAGGCAUAAAAAUGGUUUACAUUUCAUGGUUGCUUUGAGGAUGGUUGAACUAUAGUUUGUCUCCUAAAUGUAUACUAUAAAUGCUAGUAAUGUGCUUUCUUGAAAUAUUUCUAGUGCGCAAAAAAUAAUAAUGAAAUAGGAGUAUAUGCCAUCAUAUUCCAGUCCCCUAUCAUGAAAUUACACUGGUUUGGACAACUCUGCCCGUUACAUUCUGCCCUGGGUAAGAAGUAAUUAUAUAUAUCUUUAUUUGGCAUAGAUAUUGGACUGUCCAUCUGCUAAAGAAUUUUAUCCUAAAGUACACUUUUGUUUUACAAUUUUUGGUGUACAUUUUCAGCUGAGAACUGUAUUGUGAAAUUUAGGGAAGUGCAAAACCUGAAAGAUAAGGAAGUUGCUAUAUUCUGUUACAGUUUAUUUAUAAACCGCUUUUAUGUUCAGACCCAUGUUCGGGUCAAGAAGGUCCAAUAUCAGGUCAGUUUGCUUAAAAAUGCAAAACAGGUGUAAAUCACCCUGUGUCCUUGGUCCAUGCUAUAAGGAAAGGACCCCUGGAUGGCUAAGUCCAGUCAAAGGUGACUAUGGGGUUGCGGUGCUCAUCUUGCUUUCAGGCCGAGGGAGCUGGUGUUUGUCCACAGACAGCUUUCCGAGUCAUGUGACCAGCACGACUAAACUGCUUCUGGUGCAACGGAACACCAUGACAGAAACCAGAGUGCACAGAAAACACCGUUUACCUUCCCACCACAGUAGUACCUAUUUAUCUACUUGCACUGGUGUGAUUUCGAACUGCUAGGUUGGCAGGAGCUGGGACAGAGCAACGGGAGCUCACUCCGAUGCGGGGAUUCGAACCACUGACCUUCUGAUCGGCAAGCCCAAGAGGCUCAGUGGUUUAGAUCACAUAACGGAGGCCAUGCCACUGCUCCCAAAAAAUGGUCCGUCACGAAGGCUGAGUCAAUUUUAGGUAGUGAAGAAGCAUCCUCCUGGAAAACUCCUUCCCCAGUCCACUUGUACAGUUUUGCUUAAAGGUUGCAGUUAUGCAUAGCACAGGAUGUUCCCAGCACCAAGCGAAGUCUGACUUGAUCUUAACGGCCACUGAGGGACUGACAUCCUGUAGUUGUCGAACUGGGAGCGCAGUGUGCAGCCACUGCUUCUCGAUGAGGUCUCUUGAAAUGUAUCUCACGCUGGUUGGGAUCUUACGGCUUGUUAGAGAUGAUUAAUUCUUAAUGACCCCAAGAGCUGCCGGAAAGCGGGCAGUGACAAAGCGGUGGGAGACUCACGCCACAGAUGUGCUGACACGGCACAUUUGCUCGUGACACACAGGCUCUUCCGGCAUCCUUUCAAGGCAAUGGUGGUUUACCCAAAUCCUCACAAGUCACCCGUUCAAGAAAUAGCGGAUCUUCUCACUAGCGGUGUACAGGUUACCCAGAUAAAAUUGUCAUCAUCUCUAUAUUUGUAUACUAAACACUGCACAGCUCCACAUGCAUUAUCUCAUCAUAAUUCUUACAUUGGAACAUUGCUUAGCUGUCAAUCCACUUUUGCCCAUUUUGAAUUAGACUGGAGCAAAUUGGGCCUGUCCAGGGGUUUUUGCCUACCUCAUAGCAACUGUUACAACUUGUUUGCUCCCAUCAGUGCUACUUUUUCCUAGAAAAUGAGGUGCCAGAACUCACCACGAACACCUCCCUUGUUCUCUUAUAAUGGCAAUGGUGCCCACCUGAGAGGGGCCAGAACUGAAUUCUGGUGAGUUCUGGCUGAACUUUUUUCCCAGGGAAAGUGCGGGGACCAAAGAACAACAGCAACAGACAGUCAUGGACAUGGAAAUCCCAGACUUUUGCCUUGAAAGUGCAGAGCAAAGCUAAGUGUGGAUGAUCCCUUAGGGCAGAGCUUUCUGAAUUGUGUGUCAUGACACAUUAGCGUGUUGGUUGCAGUGUGUAGGUGUGUCAUGCGAAUGUUCCCCUCGCUCCUCCUGGGGCUGGAAAGGGGUUAGUUUAACCUCUGAUUUGCUAGUAAAACUGAAUUGCUUUGUCGUGAAAAGGUCCAUGUCUAAAAAGUGUGUCAUCGGCAUGAAAAGUGGGGAAAGCUCUGCCUCAGAACACCAAACAUGUCAUGGGUUUUGAAGAGGCUCAAACUCAGGACCAAAGGGAGAAAGGCACACUAAGAGGAAGGCACGCUUGGCAAACCCUCACCAUGAUCAACUCCUGCCUGGAAACCAAUGUCCCCACUGUAGAAGGACAUGUGGAUCCAGAAUUGGCCUCCACAGUCACUUACGGACUCACUGUUAAGACCAUGUUCAUGGAAGACAAUCUUACUCGGCUACGAGUGAUUGCCAAAGAAGAAGAGAGACUACUCUUUGCUAGUUAUACUACAUGACAUGUAUGACUAACACUGCAGUCAGAAAAGAAAACGGAUAGAACAGCUAUAUGUCAGUAAUAAGGUUGCUGGCAGAUAUCUUUCAGUACUUGAUGGUGGCAAAACCAUGGAAACAUGCAUGCAACAAAGCUUUUACAUUGUGGUAUAGUCAAUACAAUUAUGUGCAUUAGUGGCUGGCAUCUUCCUAAAGAAAUCAUUUCACAUUAGUUUCCAGGGAUGCCAACUUGAAUAAAAUAUUGUGGGGGCCCAGGUUGGCCCUGCCCCACAGAAUUGAUCACAUGACACACACACCAUUUGGAUGAGAAUGCCCAUUAACUUUGUGGGGGCCUGGCCCCAUCAAAUAUUUUAUUGUGGGGACCGAAGCCCCCACACCCCCUAAGAGUUGGCUCCUAUGCAAGUUUCCAUUUUUGACUGAAAGAUGUGAACAAGACCACAAUAUACAAAACUGCUUAAUCCCAUAUACAUCAAUUCCAUUGCUUCAGUGAUGCUUUGGAUUUUCUCUAUGCAACUUGCUGCAGGGCAACAUUGUCUUUUGGAAUUGCUACCAGUUUAUUCUUAUUCCACUGUUAAUCUUGUUUUGGUGGUGGUGGUGGGUUUGGAGUGGGGGGGGCUGCCAUAAUUUUCAUUUCAUUUUCAUUUCGUUUAUGAAAUGCUGCUUUUCACUUGCACAAAGCAGCGUCCAUACAAUAAAUAGCAACAUCACAAUUACAAAAUAAAUAAUAUAAAAUAAUUAAUGAAUUGCCCACAAAACAAUUACAGAUCAUCACUAAAACAACCACCUUCUAUAAAACACUAUUAACAAAACACUGUUAAAAGUAGGCUAAACAGCACAAGACGAGCCAUAUUAUAAAAUUCACAAAGCAUUGCAGCACUCAUAUUCCACAAAACAGUAUUAGCAGCAUUAACAAACUAGCAACCAAAAACAAACUCAGCCCUGUGAAAUUCGCAUUUGAAUUCUCUGCCCAUCCCCUACCUCCUCCUUCUCUCAUCGCCUACAGACAAGGAGCCAAGAGAGUACCCCCACUGGAGUAAGGCAGAAGAUGUAUUUUACUACCAACCAUCUAAUCUUUCUAAUAACUUUUCCUAUCAGGUAGACAGAAAAGAUCAGUUAAAAAAAAAAAUCAGCCCAGGCGAACAGUACAUCAUUAGCUCACUGUGAUAGCCUUUGUGUCUGACAAGAUGCUUGUAAUAAGUGAAUGCUUAUCAAUGAUCAACUGGAUGAAGGAAAGUGGUGAUGAGCCCAAUGAAUGGAGGGCAGCUUCUUUAGCAGUAGGAAAAGGGAUUUCAAUCCUUUCCCCCAUUGGGCCCAUUAUGUAGAUAAGUCACACAGAAUGCUCAUCAUUUCGUGGGCCUCGUUUCCUGGCUGGGGCUCAUAUUGCUGCUUUCUGCUCUGACAUAUUGCUGUCUUGUGAUAAAGCUGCCAACCGGAUCUUAUAUUAUCUCCCCGUUCUACACCGUCUUCUCAUCGGGAUUUAGAUUUCAGGACCGUUAUUUUUUCCUAACCAACAUGUGUGUGUGUGUGUGUGUGUGUGUGUUUCUAAAUUCAGUGCCUAUUUUCUCCUUGCAUCCAUGCAUUCUGCUCUUUUCUUGAGCUUUUUCGUGAUUUGGAAAUGGAUGUAUUUUGUGUUCUCUGCUGCUUUGUUCCAAAAUUUUUGCAGUUGCCCUUUUU
rnacentral:lncRNA from 1 species